AAAGCAGAGAACAAAUUGAAAAGUUUUAAUUUAGGUUAUCUUUUAAUUAAAUUAAAUCCUCCAAAUUAUAAAAGUCUAAUUUAAGCUUCGUUGCCAAAUAAAACAAACAAAAAUUUUCUCGCCCUGAUUUUUGAAAAAAAAUUUCUUAAACAUUCCGAGAAUCGGGAUGUUACAAAAAGAUAGGAGUUUUCUUUUGAAAAAGAAGGUUAAGACCCCGGCCUCUGCAUCAAUCGAUGCAUACGGCCAUUAAAAAAGAUACGGGUAUUCAACAAGAUUAUGGUUCAUAAUUUCCAAUAAGAUUUGAUCAUUGUGCCAACUGCCAACUCGUAGCAAAUCAAAGAAAAAGAGAAGCAACUAAUGUGCUAGCAGGAAGGUCCGUGCGUUUUUUGAUCUGCGCUCUUCGAUCCUUAGGUCGGCCGUAAAGUGAUUUGCCAGCCCACUCAGGGGAUCCUGCAAGGAAAUUCAUUACGGAAUCAAUAACUCCCGAACAUACCGCAUUUUUAGAGCUCAUCCCAAACGCCUCUUGCGCCGUCAAUCUUUUAGCACGAAUCAUAGUGCAAUGAGGCUAUCCACGUCGUCGUUAUUUUCAUUCAGAGAAACUGCGCGUCGUCGCGGACGUAGCCAGCCACACAUCUCUUUCGCCCUUAUCCAUCCAACCCCUCCUCACUCUGCAGAGCCUCGCCCCACCACUCUCUCUCCCUCUCCUUCUUCCUCCCCACCACUCAUGGCGUCGUUGCCGGCGGCGAGGCCGGGCAGCCAUGGAUCUGGGAACCUCGCGUCGCGGCUACCCCGGUCGUGCUGCGCGUGGAGGUGCUCUGUCGGCCCGCAUCAGCGGCGCAAGCAUGAGCACCAGGAGGCACCCAGGCCGUGCAUCGAUGAGAAGCUCGCCGCCGUGGCGGCCCCAGUCGCCUCGUGCUUGGACGGCGGCCCGCGUCAGUCAUGCGAACAAGAGCACAGGAGGCCACGAUGGCUGCAAAUGGUGGGGGCGAGGGUUGGGCUCUCCCGGCGUCGCGCGAGUCGUUGAGGGGAGGCGAUGGCUAUGGAUGGCGUCGAGCAGUGGUGGAAGCCGCUCCAGCUUCCGUGCCGCGGCCUCUCAUACUAUCAGGUGCAAGUAGGUCGCCGGCAGGGCUUAGCCCCCUCAAGCAGAUGCGCUGUUGACGAGAACCGCCACCACGCCGGCGAGAGGAGUCGCGCCCUCCACUGGAUCUCGCUGGUGGGAGGAGUCGCGGUGGAGGUGUUGCUCCUGGGGGAAGCGACGACCUGCCUCGCAUGAAUUUGCCAGAGAGGUAGGCGGGGGCGCGGGGAUGGCUGCAGCCACGAGCCGGAGGGUUGGCAAAUAUUGGAGCAGUGAGGUGGUAGUUUAGUGUGGGCAACACGACAUUUUUUGGACAUGGCAAAUUUUGUUUUGGUUCACAAGAAAAUUCAUGUUUGUUUAAUGUCACCACUACUACUUUUGCCAUGCCACAUUGUUUUACCAUGCUAAUUUUGCUAAGCUUUUUGCCCUUGCAAAAAAGUUUAGCACUGACUAUGGCAACUUUAGUUUACUAUUAUCAAAACGGAUGAAAAUUCAUAGUU